UUGAACGCUGGCGGCGUGCCUAACACAUGCAAGUCGAGCGGUAACAGGUGUAGCAAUACAUGCUGACGAGCGGCGGACGGGUGAGUAACGCUUGGGAAUCUGCCUAUUAGUGGGGGGACAACCCGGGGGAAACUCGGGCUAAUACCGCAUACGCUCUACGGAGGAAAGCCGGGGACCGCAAGGCCUGGCGCUAAUAGAUGAGCCCAAGUCGGAUUAGCUAGUUGGUAGGGUAAUGGCCUACCAAGGCGACGAUCCGUAACUGGUCUGAGAGGACGACCAGUCACACCGGAACUGAGACACGGUCCGGACUCCUACGGGAGGCAGCAGUGGGGAAUAUUGGACAGUGGGCGAAAGCCUGAUCCAGCGACGCCGCGUGGGUGAAGAAGGCCUGCGGGUUGUAAAGCCCUUUUCAGUGGGGAAGAAAAGCCUCGACCUAACACGUCGGGGUCUUGACGUAACCCAUAGAAGAAG
rnacentral:rRNA from 1 species